UCGACCGCGACCCCAGGUCAGACGGGACUACCCGCUGAGUUUAAGCAUAUCAAUAAGCGGUGGAGAAGAAA
rnacentral:rRNA from 1 species